ACCUGGGAUAGCUCAGUUGGUAAAGCACGAGACUCUUAAUCGCAGGGUUGUGGGUUCGAGCCCCAUGUUGGGCA